rnacentral:rRNA from 1 species
AACGUAGGAGACAAGCGUUAUCCGGAAUUACUGGGCGUAAAGGGCGUGUAGGCGGUUUGUUAAGUCUGGCGUGAAAGCUCUCGGCUAAACCGGGAGAGGGCGGUGGAUACUGGCUGACUAGAGGACGGUAGAGGCGUGUGGAAUUCCGGGUGUAGGGGUGAAAUGCGUAGAGAUCCGGAGGAACACCAGUGGCGAAGGCGACACGCUGGGCCGUACCUGACGCUAAAGCGCGACAGCAUGGGGAGCAAACGGG